rnacentral:miRNA from 1 species
UCAGUCAUUGAAGUGAUCUCGU